GCCCCCAACAACGCCCCAACAAAAUUCCCUACCACUGAUAAAUGGUUAGACGGGUUGGCCACCUUUGAUAAGCGGCGUUGCCCUCCUGACAUCCAUUGCCCAUAAAUCUUGAUCUCAAGACAAAAUAUGGGCGUCAUUAACACAUACCAUAAUGAAUGUGGUAGUGUUGUAGCAAUAUCUUCUGGAACCCCAAUGGCCAAGAAGAGCAAGGCAAUCCACGGGGCAAAAAAGAAAUUAACCCUGAUCGGGUGGUAGUAUUCUCUUCGAACCGCUUCAAAGUAAAAGAUGACUUUUAAAAGGUAAGCUGAGGCAACAACGGCGAAAAGAAGGAUGGAUAUGCACCAUAAUGCAUAGUUCACUCUACGGCUUAUAUGAAGGAAAUGUGUGGAAGUGGACAAGGCUAAAUUCUUCCACAGUACCGUUUGGCUACCAACACCGAGACACAUACCAAAUGCUGAGAUCGGAAAACGAAGAAGAAAUGGCCACUUUCUAUCUUCAGGAAGCACUAUUACUUCGGAAGCCUGUAAAAAAAGAAGAGCCAAAAUAGUGAGACAAAAUGUUAGAAGGGAAGUAAAAGUCAUACAAAAGACAUUCGGAUUACUGGAUUAGGGAUGAUCAAAAUAAGUGAGAUACGGCUACACUCUUAUGGGGAGUGUUUAUCUCAGUUGGAUCGACACGUGGGAGCGACUUUCCACGUAAUGUAGAAAGUUGUCUCUCAAGCCCACCUGACCAUGUCUUGAACGAGUUAUAUCUGUUGUCCUUCAACUCAUGUAUCCUUGGAAUCUUCACUGGGAGUAUGAGACCGUCUGGUGUUUUUACUCUCCUUGUAUCAACUAAUGUGGUGUCGCCUUUUCCCGGGCUAUCGUUUCCAACUAAUGUGGCUUUGUCCUUGAAUGUAACUCUUUUGGCAUCCAAAGAAGAAGGUGGCAUGCUAAUCGAAACAGAUGGUGUAGCUGUUGUUUGUUCCGGCGAUAGAUCAAGUGGGCUUUCAAACUGAUCAUUUCCACUGAACUCCUGGCAAAAUCAAAACACAAUUUCAAAAAACCACAAAGACCAAGCAUCUUGGGGCCAUCAUAUCUUGCUUGAUAACAAUAACCUGAUUGGAAUCUGCAUAGCUGAUCGGUGAUGAAAUUAUUUCAGGGGACUCCUUCUUGUUUUCCAUCUCAAUUUACAGUUGGUUUCUUGCUGUGCAUAUUAAACAAAAAAAAAAAAUUCACUUUCACAAUAGGUGAAUUGUCUAUUAGUAAAAUCAAUGAAAUGGGACUUUUUAUGAUA